GUUUGGACAGCAGUGGCUUCCUCUGUGGUAUCCUCCCAUGAAAUCCAUUCUUGUUUAGUGUUUUACGUAUUGUAGAUUCGCUAACAGGGAUGUUAGCAUUUGCCAGUGACUUUUGUAAGUCUUUAGCUGACACUCUAGGAUUCUUCUUCACCUCAUUGAGCAGUCUGUGCUGUGCUCUUGCAGUCAUCUUUACAGGACGGCCACUCAUAGGGAG